rnacentral:rRNA from 1 species
AUUGAACGCUGGCGGCAGGCCUAACACAUGCAAGUCGAACGAGUGGCGGACGGGUGAGUAAUGUCUGGGAAACUGCCUGAUGGAGGGGGAUAACUACUGGAAACGGUAGCUAAUACCGCAUACCAUCAGAUGUGCCCAGAUGGGAUUAGCUAGUAAGUAGGGUAAUGGCUCACCUAGGCGACGAUCCCUAGCUGGUCUUAGAGGAGAACCAGCCACACUGGAACUGAAACACCGUCCAGAGUCCUACGGGAGACGGCAGUGGGGAAUAUUGCACAAUGGGCGCAAGCCUGAUGCAGCCAUGCCGCGUGUAUGAAGAAGGCCUUCGGGUUGUAAAGUACUUUCAGCGAGGAGGCGUUACUCGCAGAAGAAGCACCGGCUAACUCCGUGCCAGCAGCCACGGUAAUUC